rnacentral:rRNA from 1 species
GACGAACGCUGGAGGCGUGCUUAACACAUGCAAGUCGAGCGGUAAGGCCCUUUCGGGGGUACACGAGCGGCGAACGGGUGAGUAACACGUGGGUGACCUGCCCUCAGCUCUGGGAUAAGCCUGGGAAACUGGGUCUAAUACUGGAUAUGACUCCACGGUGCAUGUCGGUGGGGUGGAAAGCCUUGUGCGGCUGAGGAUGGGCCCGCGGCCUAUCAGCUUGUUGGUGGGGUGANGGCCUACCAAGGCGACGACGGGUAGCCGGCCUGAGAGGGCGACCGGCCACACUGGGACUGAGACACGGCCCAGACUCCUACGGGAGGCAGCAGUGGGGAAUCUUGCGCAAUGGGCGAAAGCCUGACGCAGCGACGCCGCGUGAGGGAUGAC